UACGAAGGGGGCUAGCGUUGUUCGGAAUUACUGGGCGUAAAGCGCGCGCAGGCGGCUAUCCAAGUCAGUGGUGAAAGCCCGGAGCUCAACUCCGGAACUGCCAUUGAAACUGUUUAGCUGGAGUAUGAGAGAGGUGAGUGGAAUUCCCAGUGUAGAGGUGAAAUUCGUAGAUAUUGGGAAGAACACCAGUGGCGAAGGCGGCUCACUGGACCGGUAUUGACGCUGAGGUGCGAAAGCGUGGGGAGCAAACAGG
rnacentral:rRNA from 1 species